rnacentral:rRNA from 1 species
UACAUAGGGAGCGAGCGUUAUCCGGAUUUAUUGGGCGUAAAGCGCAUGUAGGUGGUUUGUUAAGUUAGGUGUCAAAUUGUUGGGCUCAACCCAACUUCGCACUUAAUACUGACGAACUAGAGUUUAGGAGAGGAAAGGGGAACUCACAGUGUAGCGGUGAAAUGCGUAGAUAUUGUGAGGAACACCAGUGGCGAAGGCGCCUUUCUGGCCUAAAACUGACGCUGAGAUGCGAAAGCGUGGGGAGC